rnacentral:rRNA from 1 species
AUUGAACGCUGGCGGCAGGCCUAACACAUGCAAGUCGAGCGAGCGGCGGACGGGAGAGUUAUGUAUGGGGCUCUGCCCGAUAGAGGGGGGUAACUACUGGAAACUGUUGCUAAUUCCGCAUUCUAUCGGCUGAACCCAUAUGGGAUUAGCUAGUGGGUGGGGUAAAGGCUGACCUCGGCGACGACCUGUAGCUGGUCUGAGAGGAUGAUCAGCCACACUGGAACUGAGACACGGCCCAGACUCCUACGGGAGGCAGCAGUGGGGAAUAUUGCACAAUGGGAGAAAGCCUGAUGCAGCCAUGCCGCGUGUAUGAAGAAGGCCUUAGGGUUGUAAAGUACUUUCAGCGGGGAGGCGUUACCCGCAGAAGAAGCACCGGCUAACUCCGUGCCAGCAGCCGCGGUAAUAC